ensembl:snRNA U6 U6 spliceosomal RNA
AUUGUUUGAUUCAGAGCAAUAUACUUAAAAAAUAGAACAAUAUGAAAAAGUGUAACAUGGCACCUGUGCAAGGAUGACUUACAAAGGCAUGAAGUGCUCCAUAUAUUU